rnacentral:rRNA from 1 species
AUUGAACGCUGGCGGCAGGCCUAACACAUGCAAGUCGAGCGGAUGAGUGGAGCUUGCUCCAUGAUUCAGCGGCGGACGGGUGAGUAAUGCCUAGGAAUCUGCCUGGUAGUGGGGGACAACGUCUCGAAAGGAACGCUAAUACCGCAUACGUCCUACGGGAGAAAGCAGGGGACCUUCGGGCCUUGCGCUAUCAGACGAGCCUAGGUCGGAUUAGCUAGUAGGUGAGGUAAUGGCUAACCUAGGCGACGAUCCGUAACUGGUCGUGAGAGGAUGAUCAGUCACACUGGAACUGAGGGACGGUCCAGACUCCUACGGGAGGCAGCAGUGGGGAAUAUUGGACAAUGGGCGAAAGCCUGAUCCAGCCAUGCCGCGUGUGUGAAGAAGGUCUUCGGAUUGUAAAGCACUUUAAGUUGGGAGGAAGGGCAGUAAGUUAAUACCUUGCUGUUUUGACGUUACCAACAGAAUAAGCACCGGCUAACUUCGUGCCAGCAGCCGCGGUAUAC